GGAGAGGUGGAUGAGUGGUUUAAGUCGCACGCCUGGAAAGCGUGUUUGGGAUAAUAUCCCAACGCGGGUUCGAAUCCCGCCCUCUCCG
rnacentral:tRNA from 1 species